rnacentral:rRNA from 1 species
GAUGAACGCUGGCGGCGUGCCUAAUACAUGCAAGUCGAGCGAACGGACGAGAAGCUUGCUUCUCUGAUGUUAGCGGCGGACGGGUGAGUAACACGUGGAUAACCUACCUAUAAGACUGGGAUAACUUCGGGAAACCGGAGCUAAUACCGGAUAAUAUUUUGAACCGCAUGGUUCAAAAGUGAAGGACGGCCUUGCUGUCACUUAUAGAUGGAUCCGCGCUGCAUUAGCUAGUUGGUAAGGUAACGGCUUACCAAGGCAACGAUGCAUAGCCGACCUGAGAGGGUGAUCGGCCACACUGGAACUGAGACACGGUCCAGACUCCUACGGGAGGCAGCAGUAGGGAAUCUUCCGCAAUGGGCGAAAGCCUGACGGAGCAACGCCGCGUGAGUGAUGAAGGUCUUCGGAUCGUAAAACUCUGUUAUUAGGGAAGAACAUAUGUGUAAGUAACUGUGCACAUCUUGACGGUACCUAAUCAGAAAGCCACGGCUAACUACGUGCCAGCAGCCGCGGUAAUACGUAGGUGGCAAGCGUUAUCCGGAAUUAUUGGGCGUAAAGCGCGCGUAGGCGGUUUUUUAGUCUGAUGUGAAAGCCCACGGCUCAACCGUGGAGGGUCAUUGGAAACUGGAAAACUUGAGUGCAGAAGAGGAAAGUGGAAUUCCAUGUGUAGCGGUGAAAUGCGCAGAGAUAUGGAGGAACACCAGUGGCGAAGGCGACUUUCUGGUCUGUAACUGACGCUGAUGUGCGAAAGCGUGGGGAUCAAACAGGAUUAGAUACCCUGGUAGUCCACGCCGUAAACGAUGAGUGCUAAGUGUUAGGGGGUUUCCGCCCCUUAGUGCUGCAGCUAACGCAUUAAGCACUCCGCCUGGGGAGUACGACCGCAAGGUUGAAACUCAAAGGAAUUGACGGGGACCCGCACAAGCGGUGGAGCAUGUGGUUUAAUUCGAAGCAACGCGAAGAACCUUACCAAAUCUUGACAUCCUUUGACAACUCUAGAGAUAGAGCUUUCCCCUUCGGGGGACAAAGUGACAGGUGGUGCAUGGUUGUCGUCAGCUCGUGUCGUGAGAUGUUGGGUUAAGUCCCGCAACGAGCGCAACCCUUAAGCUUAGUUGCCAUCAUUAAGUUGGGCACCCUAAGUUGACUGCCGGUGACAAACCGGAGGAAGGUGGGGAUGACGUCAAAUCAUCAUGCCCCUUAUGAUUUGGGCUACACACGUGCUACAAUGGACAAUACAAAGGGCAGCGAAACCGUGAGGUCAAGCAAAUCCCAUAAAGUUGUUCUCAGUUCGGAUUGUAGUCUGCAACUCGACUACAUGAAGCUGGAAUCGCUAGUAAUCGUAGAUCAGCAUGCUACGGUGAAUACGUUCCCGGGUCU